rnacentral:rRNA from 1 species
UACGUAGGGGGCAAGCGUUAUCCGGAUUUACUGGGUGUAAAGGGAGCGUAGGCGGUGAUGCAAGUCAGAAGUGAAAGCCCGCAGCUCAACUGCGGGACUGCUUUUGAAACUGUAUGACUAGAUUGCAGGAGAGGUAAGUGGAAUUCCUAGUGUAGCGGUGAAAUGCGUAGAUAUUAGGAGGAACACCAGUGGCGAAGGCGGCUUACUGGACUGUAAAUGACGCUGAGGCUCGAAGGCGUGGGGAGCAAACAGG